rnacentral:rRNA from 1 species
GACGAACGCUGGCGGCGUGCCUAAUACAUGCAAGUAGGACGCAGUUGCGAACGGGUGAGUAACGCGUAGGUAACUACCUAUUAGAGGUGGAUAACUAUGGCAAACACUAGCUAAUACCGCAUACUAGUAGAUGGACCUGCGUUGGAUUAGCUAGUAGGUAGGGUAAUGGCCUACCUAGGCAACGAUACAUAGCCGACCUGAGAGGGUGAUCGGCCACACUGGGACUGAGACACGGCCCAGACGCCCACGGGAGGCAGCAGUAGGGAAUCUUCGGCAAUGGGUGGAACCCGGACCGAGCAACGCCGCGUGAGUGAAGAAGGUUUUCGGAUCGUAAAGCUCUGUUGUUAAGGAAGCGGUCCUUAACCAGAAAGGGACGGCUAACUACGUGCCAGCGGCCGCGGCAAUUC